AAAUUACCCACUCCCGGCACGGGGAGGUAGUGACGAAAAAUAACGAUACGGGACUCAUCCGAGGCCCCGUAAUCGGAAUGAGUACACUCUAAACACGUUCCCGAAAAUCAAUUGGAGGGUAAGUCUGGUGCCAGCAGCCGCGGUAAUUCCAGCUCCAAUAGCGUAUAUUAAAGUUGUUGCGGUUAAAAAGCUCGUAGUCGAAUCUGUGUCCCGCGCCGCCGGUUCAUCGCUCGCGGUGUUCAACUGGCGUGUCUCGCGGGACGUCCUGCCGGUGGGAUCACGUAUCGUUUCGGCGGUGCGUCUCCCAACUCGUCUCCGCCUUGCGCGGUUGCGAAUCCCAUCGCGGUGCUCUUUAUUGAGUGUCGAGGUGGGCCGGCACGUUUACUUUGAACAAAUUAGAGUGCUUAAAGCAGGCCAGUUUUGCCUGAAUAUUCUGUGCAUGGAAUAAUGGAAUAGGACCUCGGUUCUAUUUUGUUGGUUUUCGGAACCCCGAGGUAAUGAUUAAUAGAAACGGAUGGGGGCAUUCGUAUUGCGACGUUAGAGGUGAAAUUCUUGGAUCGUCGCAAGACGGACAGAAGCGAAAGCAUUUGCCAAAAACGCUUUCAUUGAUCAAGAACGAAAGUUAGAGGUUCGAAGGCGAUCAGAUACCGCCCUAGUUCUAACCAUAAACGAUGCCAGCUAGCGAUCCGCCGACGUUCCUCCGAUGACUCGGCGGGCAGCUUCCGGGAAACCAAAGCUUUUGGGUUCCGGGGGAAGUAUGGUUGCAAAGCUGAAACUUAAAGGAAUUGACGGAAGGGCACCACCAGGAGUGGAGCCUGCGGCUUAAUUUGACUCAACACGGGUAACCUCACCAGGUCCAGACACCGGAAGGAUUGACAGAUUGAGAGCUCUUUCUUGAUUCGGUGGGUGGUGGUGCAUGGCCGUUCUUAGUUGGU
rnacentral:rRNA from 1 species